CGCGGCCUAUCAGCUUGUUGGUGGGGUAGUGGCCUACCAAGGCGACGACGGGUAGCCGGCCUGAGAGGGUGACCGGCCACACUGGGACUGAGACACGGCCCAGACUCCUACGGGAGGCAGCAGUGGGGAAUAUUGCGCAAUGGGCGGAAGCCUGACGCAGCGACGCCGCGUGGGGGAUGACGGCCUUCGGGUUGUAAACCUCUUUCAGCAGGGACGAAGCCUUAUGGGUGACGGUACCUGCAGAAGAAGCACCGGCCAACUACGUGCCAGCAGCCGCGGUAAUACGUAGGGUGCAAGCGUUGUCCGGAAUUAUUGGGCGUAAAGAGCUCGUAGGCGGUUCGUCGCGUCGGCUGUGAAAACCCGGAGCUCAACUCCGGGCCUGCAGUCGAUACGGGCGGACUUGAGUUCGGCAGGGGAGACUGGAAUUCCUGGUGUAGCGGUGAAAUGCGCAGAUAUCAGGAGGAACACCGGUGGCGAAGGCGGGUCUCUGGGCCGAUACUGACGCUGAGGAGCGAAAGCGUGGGGAGCGAACAGGAUUAGAUACCCUGGUAGUCCACGCCGUAAACGUUGGGCGCUAGGUGUGGGGGCCAUUCCACGGUUUCCGUGCCGCAGCUAACGCAUUAAGCGCCCCGCCUGGGGAGUACGG
rnacentral:rRNA from 1 species